rnacentral:lncRNA from 1 species
AGUCUCUCAGCCAGUAACAUUUGCAGGAAUUGCUACAAGUUCAAAGCUAUUGGAAUCACAAAACUCCCAACCGUUGGAUUUCAACAGCUCAGCACAAAUUACAAGUUUUGAUCCAUCAGUGUCUGAUGUGCAUCCGCCAGAAAGGUACAUGGAACUUGACCUAUUGCAUUUUCAAACUCAACAGCUUCUAAGCUGCACGUUGAAGGUCUCCCGGAAGGUUCUGGAUUCAAAAGCUUUAGACUCCGAUUACUCAAAACAAAUAGGAAACUUCAGUUUAUCCAUAAUUGAUGUGCGUGCAGCAGAAAAGACUCUAGUCCAGGAACAUCUAAAUUAAUCACAUUCAUUUGAUCUAAGUGAUCAGCAUCUGGAACCAGUAUGUUUUGUUGAAAGGUCUAUGAAUUGAUAAAAUAAUUGGAGCGUAGAUGCAGAUCAACACUAGGAAUUAAAACAUUGAAUAGCUAAGACUAUAUAGAUUGCUCCAAGUAAACUUACUUUUUCGGUUUAUGAGGAAGAAAUAUUUAGGUUGAACCACAGUUUUUCCCUCGGCAUAUGAAGAGCUACCCCUGA